UACGAAGGGGGCUAGCGUUGUUCGGAAUUACUGGGCGUAAAGCGCACGUAGGCGGACAUUUAAGUCAGGGGUGAAAUCCCAGAGCUCAACUCUGGAACUGCCUUUGAUACUGGGUGUCUUGAGUAUGGAAGAGGUGAGUGGAAUUCCGAGUGUAGAGGUGAAAUUCGUAGAUAUUCGGAGGAACACCAGUGGCGAAGGCGGCUCACUGGUCCAUUACUGACGCUGAGGUGCGAAAGCGUGGGGGAGCAAACAGGAUUAGAUACCCCGA
rnacentral:rRNA from 1 species